UGGGGAAUUUUCCGCAAUGGGGGAAACCCUGAUCCAGCCAUGCCGCGUGAGUGAUGACGGCCUUAGGGUUGUAAAGCUCUUUCGCUAGGGAAGAUAAUGACGGUACCUAGUAAAGAAGCCCCGGCUAACUUCGUGCCAGCAGCCGCGGUAAUACGAAGGGGGCUAGCGUUGUUCGGAAUUACUGGGCGUAAAGCGCGCGUAGGCGGGUCAUUAAGUCAGGGGUGAAAUCCCGGGGCUCAACCUCGGAAUUGCCUUUGAUACUGGUGACCUCGAGUCCGAGAGAGGUGAGUGGAACUCCGAGUGUAGAGGUGAAAUUCGUAGAUAUUCGGAAGAACACCAGUGGCGAAGGCGGCUCACUGGCUCGGUACUGACGCUGAGGUGCGAAAGCGUGGGGAGCAAACAGGAUUAGAUACCCGGGUAGUCC
rnacentral:rRNA from 1 species